rnacentral:misc_RNA from 1 species
GAUGAAGAACGCAGCGAACUGCGAUAAGUAAUGUGAAUUGCAGAAUUCAGUGAAUCAUCGAGUCUUUGAACGCACGUUGCGCCCCCUGGCAUUCCGGGGGGCAUGCCUGUCCGAGCGUCAUUGCUGCCCUUCAAGCCCGGCUUGUGUGUUGGGUCGUCGUCCCCCCCGGGGGACGGGCCCGAAAGGCAGCGGCGGCACCGCGUCCGGUCCUCGAGCGUAUGGGGCUUUGUCACCCGCUCGAUUAGGGCCGGCCGGGCGCCAGCCGGCGUCUCCAACCUUCUAUUUUACCAGGUUGACCUCGGAUCAGGUAGGGAUACCCGCUGAACUUAAGCAUAUCAAUAAGCGGAGGA